UACGUAGGUGGCAAGCGUUGUCCGGAUUUACUGGGUGUAAAGGGCGUGUAGGCGGAGAUGCAAGUCAGAUGUGAAAUCCCCGGGCUUAACCCGGGAACUGCAUUUGAAACUGUAUCCCUUGAGUAUCGGAGAGGCAGGCGGAAUUCCUAGUGUAGCGGUGAAAUGCGUAGAUAUUAGGAGGAACACCAGUGGCGAAGGCGGCCUGCUGGACGACAACUGACGCUGAGGCGCGAAAGCGUGGGGAGCAAACAGG
rnacentral:rRNA from 3 species